ACCAGUGCCCAAAUAACUCGCAAAUAAAUUCGCAAUUGAAUAAUCGAAUUCAAUCGAUCAAAAAUUAACCGACAGAAUUCAUAUUUAAUUAGUAAAGUAAAUAUUUCCUGUAUUAGCACCAGAGAUUACAGACUACUCCAUCAAAAAUUCCAUCGACAAUUCUCGCCAUAAAUUGAAGUAAACAUACUGAAGGACAUGGUGCAAUCUUUUUUAUGAAAAUUUCCAUCAGUUUUCGGAGCCAAAGCCAAAGAUUCCAAAGCAGAAUAGAAAAAGGUCUUGCAUAACCUCAAUAUUAAGGACAUUCCAACUGCUCCAACUGCUGCAACAAGCAUCUUCAGUUUUUAUCAGUGAGAAUGACCGUCAAGCUCACUUGAAAAGUUUUGUAAAUACGUUUGACCUCACGAGAGAUAAAAUAGAAAAGACAACGGAGUUAAUUCAUCACCUGACAAUCAGGUAAUCAGAAAAGGGAAUAAAAAUGUCUGAGUAAUUUGUGGGCUGCAUGGUGUCCAUAAAUUGCGUGGACGACCUGGGGAGUUAUUAGGAUCAGAUAUCAGAUUUAAAUGGUGAAACAGUGACGAUAUCGAUCUACCAUCCCAGGUGAUAAUAAAUGCGAAGAACAUCGAGAAUUCGGAGACAAUAUCAACAGGAAGGAAGCAACUGACCGAGAAGUUCAGUCGAGUAAAGUAACAAUUAAGAGUCCAAUAGUGAAAAGAGUCAGCAGAUCAGUAUUAGAGUGCAUUCCCACAUCAUUGCCAUCAGCCACUUAGUCCUCGAAAAAGUUUGGAGUACGUUUUUUCCAAGAUAAAUCCAAAGACCUCUCCUUGCUACAAGCCAGUGCAUAAUCAUGACGUAUUAAGUCUCACAGCAUCCGAGCGUUUAAU